UGAGGAAUAUUGGUCAAUGGGCGCAAGCCUGAACCAGCCAUCCCGCGUGAAGGAAGAAGGCGCUAUGCGUUGUAAACUUCUUUUCCAGGGGGAGAAUUUUUCCGUCGUGACGGGAAUUGACGGUACUCUGGGAAUAAGCAUCGGCUAACUCCGUGCCAGCAGCCGCGGUAAUACGGAGGAUGCGAGCGUUAUCCGGAUUUAUUGGGUUUAAAGGGUGCGUAGGCGGAUAGAUAAGUCAGUGGUGAAAUUCUGCAGCUUAACUGUAGACUUGCCGUUGAUACUGUCAGUCUUGAGUAUGGUCAAGGCAGGCGGAAUGUGUAAUGUAGCGGUGAAAUGCUUAGAUAUUACACAGAACACCGAUUGCGAAGGCAGCUUGCUGGGCCAUUACUGACGCGGAUGCACGAAAGCGUGGGGAUCGAACA
rnacentral:rRNA from 1 species